rnacentral:rRNA from 1 species
GGAAUGAACGCUAGCGGCAGGCCUAAUACAUGCGAAGUCGGACGGGAUCCGUCGGAGAGCUUGCUCGAAGACGGUGAGAGUGGCGCACGGGUGCGUAACGCGUGAGCAACCUACCUCUAUCAGGGGGAUAGCCUCUCGAAAGAGAGAUUAACACCGCAUAAUAUCAACAGUUCGCAUGUUCAGUUGAUUAAAUAUUUAUAGGAUGGAGAUGGGCUCGCGUGACAUUAGCUAGUUGGUAGGGUAACGGCUUACCAAGGCGACGAUGUCUAGGGGCUCUGAGAGGAGAAUCCCCCACACUGGUACUGAGACACGGACCAGACUCCUACGGGAGGCAGCAGUAAGGAAUAUUGGUCAAUGGGCGGAAGCCUGAACCAGCCAUGCCGCGUGCAGGAUGACUGCCCUAUGGGUUGUAAACUGCUUUUGUCCAGGAAUAAACCUUUCUACGUGUAGGAAGCUGAAUGUACUGGAGGAAUAAGGAUCGGCUAACUCCGUG